rnacentral:rRNA from 1 species
GACGAACGCUGGCGGCGUGCUUAACACAUGCAAGUCGAACGGAAAGGCCCUGCUUUUGUGGGGUGCUCGAGUGGCGAACGGGUGAGUAACACGUGAGUAACCUGCCCUUGACUUUGGGAUAACUUCAGGAAACUGGGGCUAAUACCGGAUAGGAGCUCCUGCUGCAUGGUGGGGGUUGGAAAGUUUCGGCGGUUGGGGAUGGGCUCGCGGCUUAUCAGCUUGUUGGUGGGGUAGUGGCUUACCAAGGCUUUGACGGGUAGCCGGCCUGAGAGGGUGACCGGCCACAUUGGGGCUGAGAUACGGCCCAGACUCCUACGGGAGGCAGCAGUGGGGAAUAUUGCACAAUGGGCGGAGGCCUGAUGCAGCAACGCCGCGUGCGGGAUGACGGCCUUCGGGUUGUAAACCGCUUUCGCCUGUGACGAAGCGUGAGUGACGGUAAUGGGUAAAGAAGCACCGGCUAACUACGU